rnacentral:rRNA from 1 species
GAUGAACGCUAGCGGCAGGCUUAAUACAUGCAAGUCGUGGGGCAGCAGGACUGUAGCCAUCCAGUUGCUGGCGACCGGCAAACGGGUGCGGAACACGUACGCAACUUACCCUGAACUGGGGGAUAGCCCGGGGAAACCCGGAUUAAUACCCCGUAAUAUAAUGGAGUGGCAUCACUUUAUUAUUAAAGCUCCGGCGGUUCGGGAUGGGCGUGCGGCUGAUUAGGUAGUUGGUUGAGGUAACGGCUCACCAAGCCUACGAUCAGUAACUGGUGUGAGAGCACGACCAGUCACACGGGCACUGAGACACGGGCCCGACUCCUACGGGAGGCAGCAGUAAGGAAUAUUGGGCAAUGGAGGCAACUCUGACCCAGCCAUGCCGCGUGGAGGAUGAAGGCCCUCUGGGUUGUAAACUUCUUUUAUAGGGGGCGAAACCUGUGUAUUCUUACGCAGUUGACGGUACCCUAGGAAUAAGCACCGGCUAACUCCGUG